GGUUGCUCAACAACGUAUUGUUUAUAUUAGAUCUCUUUCACCUUAUAAAUCAUCGUCACGUUGUGCAAGAUGUUCCUCUUUUUCCGCAAGACGCAUUUCAAGCUGGAAGCACAGAGACAAUUUCUUUGCUUUAUGACAAUGAACAUAGUUUUUGAGGUCUUCCACAGCUCGAUGGAAGCGCAUUUCUGCUCUCAUGAAAUCACGGGCCUUCUGUUCCCUUUCAUCAGCCUAAAAUAAAUAAAUAGUCUAAAAUUAAA